GAUGAACGCUGGCGGCGUGCCUAAUACAUGCAAGUCGAGCGAACAGACGAGGAGCUUGCUCCUCUGACGUUAGCGGCGGACGGGUGAGUAACACGUGGAUAACCUACCUAUAAGACUGGGAUAACUUCGGGAAACCGGAGCUAAUACCGGAUAAUAUAUUGAACCGCAUGGUUCAAUAGUGAAAGACGGUUUUGCUGUCACUUAUAGAUGGAUCCGCGCCGCAUUAGCUAGUUGGUAAGGUAACGGCUUACCAAGGCAACGAUGCGUAGCCGACCGGGGAGGGGGAUCGGCCGCACGGGAACGGGGACACGGUCCAGACUCCUACGGGAGGCAGCAGUAGGGAAUCGUCCGCAAUGGGCGGAAGCCUGACGGAGCAACGCCGCGUGAGUGAUGAAGGUCUUCGGAUCGUAAAACUCUGUUAUUAGGGAAGAACAAAUGUGUAAGUAACUAUGCACGUCUUGACGGUACCUAAUCAGAAAGCCACGGCUAACUACGUG
rnacentral:rRNA from 1 species